rnacentral:rRNA from 1 species
UACGUAGGGGGCAAGCGUUGUCCGGAUUUAUUGGGCGUAAAGAGCGUGUAGGCGGCCAGGGAGGUCCGUUGUGAAAACUCGAGGCUCAACCUCGAGACGUCGGCGGAAACCAUCUGGCUAGAGUCCGGAAGAGGAGAGUGGAAUUCCUGGUGUAGCGGUGAAAUGACGCAGAUAUCAGGAAGAACACCCGUGGCGAAGGCGGUUCUCUGGGACGGUACUGACGCUGAGACGCGAAAGCGUGGGGAGCGAACAGG